CGCAAUCAGACGCUUGCUUUAUAGCGGAAGGGACGUGUUAACAGCCAAAAAAUAAAAAAUAAAUAAAAAUGUCUUCGCAGACGCAAGAGUUUCAGAUGGAGAUGACAUGUGAGGGAUGUUCAAAUGCUGCCAGACGAGUGCUGGGAAAACUUGGAGUAAGUGAAUCUGAUAUUCAAACAGAUCUACAGGCGCAGAAAGUAACAGUGACCUCGACUUUCAGUAAAGAAAAACUUCUGGAAACUUUACAGAAAACUGGGAAAAAGGUCUCCUUUAUAGGAGUUAAAAACUAGUUGUCCUGUGUAGAGAUACUCACACUGCAGAAUACAGUCUCAAGCUUUCCUGGAUAUUUUUCAAUGUUAGGUUACUUCAUGUUGGCCUUGUUUUCAUAAGUAAACAUUUAAAGGUAUACCAGACCCAAAUUUUACUUUAAAAGUAUGAACAGUGACUAUAUAUAGUUCAUGUAAACAUAAAACAAACAUGAUUAUGUGUGUUUACAGUUUGAAAUAGUACAGUAACAUACUCAGUACAUGUAUAGAUAAACACAGUGUAAAUGUGUACUAUCACUAAAGACUGGAAGUUUUUUAAACAGUCUACUAUAAGUGUAUGUAGCUCUACAUGCAGAAUCGAUUUAUAUAUUUAGAAAAGAUAAAUGAAUUUAAUGAGGAUCUCCUGUGUUUUAAGUAAAUAUCUAAAGAUAAAAAAAAUUUAGUAAAAGGUGGGCAUUGGAUAUCUUUAAACCAUGACCAUUAUUUGAGCUGUACCAUGAGAAAACCAACAUAGUGCAUUUGCGACCAGCAUGGAUCCGGACCAGCCUGUGCAUUCGCAAAGUCUGGCCAGGAUCCAUUCUAUUCACUUUCAAAGCCUACUGCAGUUAGAGAAACCAUUAGCGAAAAGUACGGGUCCUGACCAUGCGCUGGUCUGGAUCCAUGCACUAUGUUGGUUUUCUCAUGGUGUAGCUUAUUUUAUGUUGUAAUAUAUGUUAAAAUCAGUGAGAAAGUUUUUUUUUUUCUUUUAAGCAUGUCCAGGGAACUUUUUGCCUAUUGCAGUAGUUCCUUUCUACACAAACAAAGUGAAAAUAAAGUAUUUCUUCUUAUUAAUAUACUUUCAUGAUUUUUAAAUAGAUUAUUCGGAGAGAUAUUUGUUGUUACUUGUGUUAAUACAAACCUAUGUACAUGUGAAUUGUAUCACGUUUCUUGACGAUAGUUGCUUGUGUGUGUGGCUUUAUGGUGACUAACUGUUAUUCAAUACUCUGCAGAUAUAUCUCUGCUUUAAGUUAAAGAAAUGUUUACUUUUUGUGCAAUAUAUAAGUAGAUUUGUUAGCAUUUUACUAGUUGCAGAAAAAAAUUAUGUCUUAUACGAACUGUUGUUCUUAUCUGAUAACAAAGAUUUGGUAUUGUAUUAAUUUGGAACAGCAUACAGUCGGCAUAGUUUUAAGUAUUCAGAUACAAGAGUAUGAGUUAAAGAUUUAUUUUCUUCAAUUUUCUAUGUUAUACAGGUCAGAAAUGUCCAGGUUGAUACAUUGCUUUAAUACUGUUGCAAUUCAACAUGAUUUUUCUGUUUUUAGAAGAAAAAAAAUCUUUUUUUUCCCCUUAAUUUUUAUUUUUCCAUUUCUCUGUAUUUUUAAUGUUUGGUGCAAAUACAAAUGUAUAACUGAAUGACAUUGUGUAUGUAAGAUGUUUGAAAACAUUUUUGGUCAUAUUUUACUUGUAUGCUAUGUUGUAAAAAUUUUAUUAUAUAACUAUUAUGAUUUAACAUAGUUCUUCCCUACUAAACACUGAACGGCUUCCUGAUCAAAAGUCAAAACUAUUGCCUAAGAUCUAUUCUGUAAGUAUUUUAUUACAUGACAUCAGAAAUGAAUUUUCACAUUUUUUUCCUUCAAGUUUUAACGUAGCCCAGCAAAAAUAAGUGUUCAACGAUUAACGACUGUUAAUAGCACAAAUUCUGGACUCGUGAAUUAUAUAAGGAGUGUUGUUAUAAUAGUUAGUGAAACACAAUAAAGAAUAGUUGGUUGAACAUUAUAUUAUGGAGGAUGUAUUCAUAACUCUAGCAAAGUAACGCCUAAAUCAUUAUUUCAUUUUGAUUUACAUAUUGAAUGAAUAAUAGAUUUCAAAUUGAUAAUCUGUCGAUGAAAAGAUUCAGUUGAAGUUGAUUCAGGAAGUGAAUAUGAAUACAUUUUGCCUUCUUUCUUUACUUGUAUUUAAUUGGUUAGAAGUUGUUGAAUUUUUAUCAGGCAUGUAAUUAACCUGUGAUGUAAGGAUUUUUCAACAUAUAUGUAAUUGUGUUUGAUCAAAACCAACUAUGUUUAAAGAACGUUUUUGCUUAUUUGCAUAAUAUAUUUUGGUAUGCUUGAAAUAUAAGACAACCAGUUUGCAUUCUUAUUUAGAUAGUGUUUUUCAUUCAUUUCAUUUUCCCACUUUACAUACUGUUUAUCACGGUUUAUAAUUCACACUACACUGUAUGUAUACAGAAAAUUUACAUAUCAGUAUAUUAGGUUUAGAGAAAAUGAAUUAAACUGUAUUACCGAAGGGCACUUUUUGUCCUACACAUACUGGUAAUGAGCAUUCUAUUUAAUGACAAGUGCUUGUAUUUAAAUGUGAUCUUGAUCUGAAAUAAAAUUUUAUUUAUCAUCAAUGAA